rnacentral:rRNA from 1 species
GAUGAACGCUGGCGGCGUGCUUAACACAUGCAAGUCGAACGAUGAAGCCCAGCUUGCUGGGUGGAUUAGUGGCGAACGGGUGAGUAACACGUGAGUAACCUGCCCUUAACUCUGGGAUAAGCCUGGGAAACUGGGUCUAAUACCGGAUAGGAGCGUCCACCGCAUGGUGGGUGUUGGAAAGAUUUAUCGGUUUUGGAUGGACUCGCGGCCUAUCAGCUUGUUGGUGAGGUAAUGGCUCACCAAGGCGACGACGGGUAGCCGGCCUGAGAGGGUGACCGGCCACACUGGGACUGAGACACGGCCCAGACUCCUACGGGAGGCAGCAGUGGGGAAUAUUGCACAAUGGGCGCAAGCCUGAUGCAGCGACGCCGCGUGAGGGAUGACGGCCUUCGGGUUGUAAACCUCUUUCAGUAGGGAAGAAGCGAAAGUGACGGUACCUGUAGAAGAAGCACCGGCUAACUACGUG